CGCGUAGGCGGUCUUGUCGGUCAGAUGUGAAAGCCCAGGGCUCAACCCUGGACGUGCAUUUGAAACAGCAAGACUUGAAUACUGGAGAGGAGAGCGGAAUUCCUGGUGUAGAGGUGAAAUUCGUAGAUAUCAGGAGGAACACCGAUGGCGAAGGCAGCUCUCUGGACAGAUAUUGACGCUGAGGCGCGAAGGCGUGGGUAGCGAACAGGAUUAGAUACCCUGGUAGUCC
rnacentral:rRNA from 1 species